CGAGUGGGACCGACCGCCGCUGACGAGAGCAGCAGUGGGAUCGCGGUGGCAUCCCGUGGCAGCUCGGGGCGGGACGCCCGUCGCCGUGACGUCUACAGGCAGAGGAUUCACAGGAAUCUGAAGAUGGGCAAGUGGACUCUCCUGACCUUUUCAAAAAUAGUCAGAUCACUUUCACUUCCAGCCCUGGAGCCGAGUUGAAUGAGACCUUUGUGCCGUUUACAGAAAGUGAAGAGCGGGUUGGCAGGCCCGAGAAGUUCAGCCUCCUCACGGCCUCUCUUGGAUUGAGUCACCUUUCUCUUGAGCUGUCUAUUAACACUUUCCUGAAGCACACACCUUUUAUGAAGCUUAGCCCUCGCUCACAAGUGGCUCUAAUUGGAGCGUUUUGAAAAUACAAGAGUUGGGUGACAUACCAUAGAAGACCGGAAGUGACAGCCCACAUCUGACUUGGUGGCAGGAUACCCGGAUUACCAGAGAGCUGUAGUUGCCGCAGCGGUGGGUGCCCUCCUGGAUGCUGGCACAGCAGGGCAGGUCUGCACCCAACGUGAAAAGGGAGAAGCCAGUCUUGGAAAGUGAACAUGAGAAAGAGGAGUGUCCUGGUGAAGGGAGCUGGGAGGAGAAGCUACGUCCUGGCCUGGGACAGGUCCUACCUCUCUUGCUCCGUGGCCUCCAGCAGAUGCAGAAUCAGGGCCACAUCCAUAAGGAAAAAGACCUCAUCUUGUCUAUUUGUCUCGCGUGAGAACAGUUCCCCAAAGCUGCUGGCACCUGGAGCACUUAUGUUUAGGAUGCAUUUUGAGGCUGUAUUUCAUAAUGUUUGAAUUGAUUCUGAGUUUGCAGCCCCACCGUCAGAAUUGAAGAAGACUUACCUUUGUGAUUUUUGUGGA